UACGUAGGGUGCAAGCGUUAAUCGGAAUUACUGGGCGUAAAGCGUGCGCAGGCGGUUGUGUAAGACAGAUGUGAAAUCCCCGGGCUCAACCUAGGAACUGCAUUUGUGACUGCACAGCUGGAGUGCGGCAGAGGGGGAUGGAAUUCCGCGUGUAGCAGUGAAAUGCGUAGAUAUGCGGAGGAACACCGAUGGCGAAGGCAAUCCCCUGGGCCUGCACUGACGCUCAUGCACGAAAGCGUGGGGAGCAAACAGG
rnacentral:rRNA from 1 species